AUUGAACGCUAGCGGGAUGCUUUACACAUGCAAGUCGAACGAGUGGCGGACGGGUGAGUAAUAUAUCGGAAAGUGCCCAGUAGCGGGGGAUAACUACUCGAAAGAGUGGCUAAUACCGCAUACUAUCGGAUCAGCCCAUAUGGGAUUAGCUAGUUGGUGGGGUAAAGGCUCACCAAGGCAACGAUCCGUAGCUGGUUUGAGAGGACGACCAGCCACACUGGGACUGAGACACGGCCCAGACUCCUACGGGAGGCAGCAGUGGGGAAUUUUGGACAAUGGGGGAAACCCUGAUCCAGCCAUCCCGCGUGUAUGAGAAGGCCUUCGGGUUGUAAAGUACUUUUGGCAGGGAAGCGUUAUCUGCAGAAUAAGCACCGGCUAACUACGUGCCAGCCGCCGCGGUAAUAC
rnacentral:rRNA from 1 species